UUCUCUCUGGAGGUAGUGAAGGAGAAGUAUAAAGUAGUAUAACAUGGAAAGACUUCAGUAAAGUCCAGAUAGCUGAAGAUCUGUUGGAGAAAGUGUACUUUUUUAGAAAAGUGGCCAAGGCUGAACUCGCAAUGAUGCAAUGGGCGUUAGGUAACAGAAGACACGCUUUAUGCCUCCGGAGAUCUGUUUGUGUCCUGCUGCUUUGAAAGUCUCACAAUGGAGCGAUGAUUAUGGCGCCGCGCCUUCGUAGCAGCGGUUGUAACUGUGAUAAAAUAAAAAAAAAAGAAAAGAAAAUUCACAGUCUCAGCAAUCGUACAUGAGGUGUUAACGUUAUUUUUCCACCUCCUGCGUGCACAAUGGUAAAUUAACGCGCAAUUAGCAUGAGACAUAAGAGAA